GUCGGAAGUCGCCUCAACCUGCCUGCCCGGAAGCCGUCGCCUUAGCAACACAGCGUUGUCCCGUCCUCUUCCCUUAGCCACGCCCAUUGUACUUAGAAUUCUAGAGCCAGCCAGACAUCGAUUGGUUCACUUAUCCUUCACUCCGCGAGACAGGCGAGACUGCAGGGCUCUGGAGCGCGUUUUUGAAUUUGUAGCGCGUAUAGAGUCCGUGAGGUACCUUGUGGAGUUCGUGCUGUGGCUGGAGCCAGCUACUCAGGGUGAACUCUGAAGUCCUGAGCUAUGGCAGAACUCAAGCCCCUCAAGUCACAUAGAAAUCUACCCAUCAAACACUGGAUUGCCAUAGAGAUCGUACCCCAUAUCCUGGAGAAAGGACUGCUGCACAGAGAAGCCAAAAAGAACAGACAGCCUCAGUGGAUUAGCAACCAUGUCUAUGCAGCGGUGUCUCCACAAAAACCCUAAAAGCGCCUGCCCCUGGCUCAGCGCCCGGUGCCAACAGAACACCUUUCAGGAUUCACAGCAGCGCAGACAACUCCAGGAUCCCGGCCUCUGAUUGGAACAGAACAGUGUCAUGGCGGAGACGACGGCCUUUGUCUUGCUGGAUGUGAAAACAUCCGCUGUGCUGGCUCCACUGCGGCAGAAUCAAGUUUAAAGGAAAAAAAGUGAUUAAAGUCAGCUUUGUGCCUCUUUGGUGUGGAAGACCCACAGACCUCAAGUAGCCGACUCCCAGGUCCGAGGAAGGGCUCAUAGUUGGAGCAGCCUAGGCUGUAAUCCUGGCACUGGCGCCUUCGGUUGCUGCUUGCUGUUCGCUCCUGGGGGUCUGGAUAAUCUCCCUUGGCUUUACCGCACUGUCUGGCCCGCAUACAGGGCCCCGUAACAUAUACCCGCUCCUGCUAUCACACGAAACUGUGGCGUUGCCCCUGAAUGGAUGGCACCGUGCCAACUCUUCUGCCAUCCGCCCUUGCAGCUUUUUUCUUUCCUCCCUCCCUCCCCUUCUUCUCCUCCUCCCGUCGACUUGACGUUAAUUAACACACGGGUUAAUUGAUUUUAAAAGCCGAAGAAUUACAGUUAACUUUUCCCACAGGGUACAGACGCCAGCCGCUUGGCACACUCUGCCUUUCGCACUAGUUAGUGCAGGGGGGCAGGGAAAGCCCACAGCAAAACUAGCAACUGCUGAAGGAACGUUGCUUGCUUAUUGGAGUAGAGCCGACAGAAGUCGACGUGGCACUGCCUCAUCCUUUGCAAUAUAUGUAGCCAUUAUAUAUUUUGCUAAAUAAUCAAAACAGAACCCUAGCUUUCUUCUCCCUUCCUCUUUCAAAAUGGGAAAACCUUUCUGAAGUUCACUUAGAGGGGGGGAAAAACCCUCCCCAGGACCAUUUAUCUCAUCUAUAAUAUGCUUUUUUUCCCCAGCAUCAUGAAAAUAACCAGUGCCUUUUAAUUUUUUAAUCUUUAUAUAUUUAUUUUUUAGUUUGAAAAAAGGAAGUCUCUCCCUUCCUUUAAUAUUACUGGCAUAGGAGAUUAUUAUUUUAAAGAAAAAGUUCCAUGAAGUUUUUUUCUAUACCUGAGUGUUUUGUUUGGUUUCCAUUCCUCUUGACCUAAAUGGGUUAUUUAUUGUAAAAGAUUACAGUGAGAAAGUAGGUAAAUUUUAAUUAAGAACAAAAUCCAUACCAAAGCUCUUUGUUUUUUUGUUUGUAUGUGAGUAUAUUUUUACUGUCUGCUUCCCCCCAAUGAAAUGAAAGCAAUUGAUACUGUAGUUGGAAAGCAGAGGCAAAGCUGAGAACUUGAUGCUUUCACCUUUUCAUGCUUUCAUUUAUUUCAUUUUGUUUUUUAAAAGCAUGCAGCAAGUGAAGCGACAAGAGGAAUCCAUUAUGCAAAUCAUGUCACUUUGCAUAAUGUCUCGUGACUGGAAUAUGCAAAUUAGCUGUAUAAUUUAUGAGUGCCAGUGUCUGUCUAAAAGUGUUUCACAUAAUUUACAAAGUAAGCCUGAGAGACAUUGGGAAGGCAGCUCUUCCAACUCCAUUGCUAGGAAUGCUCUGUGUAUUUUCCUACAAGUGCCCACUCAUAAUACCUAAUAUCAUCAAGUGCAGUUUAAGAAAUUAAGGUUCCACAUGUUCGUGAAAGACAAAGAUUUUCCUCUAACUCUAUUUGUCCAUUGAUUUUUUGCCUAAAACUUUGCCAGAAACUUAGAUCCUCAUACCUUAAUUUUCAGAUUUAACUUCAAAAAACAAAAAACUUAUUAAAGCCAAACAUGCUAUUUGUAUAUGAGUUUUCCUUUCUCAAUUAAAGAAUAUCUUAGAGAAAUAGACACUUAAUCGAUGUGUCUGGAUCUGUGAAAAAGAAGAACGGGACUUCUCAUUUUGUUUGUAUGAGAUAUGUCCUGCUCUGAGGACAUGUAAAGGUACGUAAAGAGACUAAAACUCCCAUGUCCAAGACUUGAAAAAAUACUGGAAUGGAUUGGCAGGAGAUUACCUGAAGAUAUGUAAAUAAAACCUAUCUAAAGUGGCACACAGAAAGACAAAUAAUGAACACAACAUGAAUGAGGAUGUUCUCAGCUCCCAGAACGGUUCUUGUCCUGGAGAAUCACAGCAUCACUGGAUCAUUGAGAUCUCAGUUGUGACUGGAGGCCAAAAUGGAGUUAUGACUCGGAAUUCCAUCGCUGGGCUGUAGGCAGGAGAACUAGGCCAACCAAAUGAUUUUACCCUAAAAUUAUGUAGCAUUGCUCCCAACAAUAGACAUAUAAAUAAAUAGAAAAG
ensembl:lncRNA